UAUUAGAGGCAUUGCCUGCCCAGUGACUAAAGUUAAACGGCCGCGGUAUCCUGACCGUGCAAAGGUAGCAUAAUCACUUGUUCCUUAAUUAGGGACUAGAAUGAAUGGCUAAACGAGGGUCCAACUGUCUCUUACUUUUAAUCAGUGAAAUUGACCUUCCAGUGAAGAGGCUGGAAUAUUAUAAUAAGACGAGAAGACCCUAUGGAGCUUUAAUUUACUAGUUUAAUUUAUAUAAAAAUAACCUAAUGGCUCAAAACAAAACAAAUAUAAACUAAAAAAUUUCGGUUGGGGUGACCUCGGAGAAUAAAAAAUCCUCCGAAUGAUUUUAACCUAGACCCACAAGUCAAAGUAACUUCAAUAUCUCAUUGACCCAAUUAUUGAUCAACGGACCAAGUUACCCUAGGGAUAACAGCGCAAUCCUAUUUAAGAGUUCAUAUCGACAAUUAGGGUUUACGACCUCGAUGUUGGAUCAGGACAUCCCAAUGGUGCAGAAGCUAUUAAUGGUUCGUUUGUUCAACGAUUAAAGUCCUACGUGAUCUGAGU
rnacentral:rRNA from 1 species